AUUCGACAGACGUACGUGCGAGCGGCGAUGACGGUUUGUCCUCUAGCGAGGAUUACGUAAGCGCGACACACGUUUUUCAACGACACCUUACCAAAGCGUAUACAUACGGCUCGGAGUGGCAAGAAAGCUUUCUACUGGAUAGAUUUUCGCCGGCAAGAAAACGGUUUCCUGUCGUUUGCCGUCGAUGCCCGCCACUGGGAAACGGGGGCUCCGCGAUAUUUUCGUCAUACGUCCAAACCGAUAUGUACCGAGCGGACGAAAAGCGAGAGACGACGUUUCAAUGGAAGCCGUGACAGCGGAGGAAAGCACUUAAGCCAUUAUAGGAAAUGCAUGGAAAUUUUAUUCCCACCAAACUGCAAAGUUAACACACUUUCGAUCGCAUCUCGAAAACUUCCGUCCCGCCACGCUUCGCAUCGUCUCUCUCGAAUGGCAAUUCCCUGGAGAAGAGGACUCGUGAUGGAGAAGCUUCUUGGUUUCGUCGUGUCGGCACGAGAAAGGGAGAGGGAUCCCUUAUUAUCGAUACCUGAAAUCUAUCGAGCCUAACUGCGACCUCGGCCCACUUCUUAAUAGAAAUUUUAAUGGAAAGAUCUCGAGAGAAGCGACGGGACUCUCCUUUAUUAAUUGCCCGUGAUCGACGAAUUCGAUCGAAACAAGAGAGAAAGAGGGAGGAGUUUCUAAAUUGAAACUUUCCCUCGUAAAUACCCCCCUUUACGCGGCCACGAUUACUCGGGAGUGAAAUUUUGCACCCUCGAUCGAAGGGAAGAAAAAGCGGUGGAGAGAUCCCUCCUCCUCCUCCUACCUUACCGACCGAGAUAUUGGACGCGGUUGGUGAAUCGUCGGCGAACGUCUGGCAGAAGCGAGGAGAAGGGGAGGGAUUCGUAAAUUCACCGUGAAAUCUUGUGCAAACGGAAGCAAGGUAACUCAUUUCCGUUUCAUCGAGGGGGAGGUUCCUUUCGAAUUAAAAGAGCUCGGGGCGUUGGCAAACGGCGAAAGUAGCGUGAAGAGAGAGAGAGAGGCGGAUUAAUUAACGUAACGUAAUUACGUCCCGCAUUGUGAGAGCCGCGACGAUUGAACGGCAAGUCUACGUCGAACUCGAACGAACCGUCGUCUCAACUUUUUCCCUCCGAUCGAAUUCGAACGCGCGUGAGAAUAUUCCUCUUAACGAAUCUCACGAGAAUAUUUCGUGAAAACUAUUUGUCUUUCGUUCAGAGAAGGGAAAGACUCGCUCCAAUUAUCGUCGAUCGCGAGUAGGACGCUUCUUGGUGAACGGCCGCGUGAGAAAUUGGCAACGAAUGAAGCGAUCGUCCAAGAUUUACCGCCGCCCGGAUUGAAACGAAAUUCAAAAAGUUAGGGAUCGUGGAUUUAUUUCGCCAACAGGUGGAUUAAAUCGAGGUAAAUCUUGGCAACGAAUCGUCGCUACGGGAUCGAAGAAAUUUCGAUCCGCCUGUAAAAAUGUACUCCAAAACGAUAGGAUCAUCUCCUCGUAGUCUGCCUUUUUUCUUUUCACUUAAAGAAAUUUCAAGCGAACGCUGCGUUCUUCGAAAAUCGAUAUUUCACGAGCCUUAAUUUUACGCGUUAUUGCGUCGAUCGAUUUAACACUGCAUAUCGAAUACACUUAAUCGUCGAUGCUAUUUACGUAUGUAAUUACGUUUUAUAAUUACCGUUACGUUAAUUAAAAUUAUACGUUAUUCCAUAUUAAAUUUUCUGCUCCAUGAGGCGCAAAUAAAUUAACGAGAUCGUUUAUAUUAUGUACAAUCUUCGUCAAAAGUUGGUGGAUAAUUGUCAGGCUAACGAUUCCGAUUUUCUUUUUUUCUUCCUUUCAUUCGACCCGCGGAAAAUCCGAGGAUGCGCGAAUCCGUUUAAUUCUAAUUGCCGGCCAGAAUCGAGACGCGAUCGAUCCGUUAAAUUGAAACAGAAUUUGUUCUAUCGUAGGUGGAUAUAUAUAUAUAUACGAUUUAUAAUAAUAAUAAUUUAUCCGCGACGAAACGGUGUUCGAUUAGCUCGGGGAACCGUAAUUAAUUCUCGCUCUAUGCUUUAUAAACUUAUACCUUUGUAUCCGCAUUAUGUAUUAUUCUUCUAGCGUUACAAAAUUGUACGAUUCGAGAAAUUACUAUGAAUUAUUUAACGGAAGCGUGCAUCACCCCUCUGUAAAUUAUCUACCAAUUGUAUACGUACAACGAUAACGGAAUAAUUAAUAACCCGUUAUCGUUGCAACUAACCGGUUAACUAACAACAAACUACGAUAUUUAAAUUACCGUCGUCCGAUUGAUAAAUAAAAUAAAAAUAGCCGUAAGUAAA